rnacentral:lncRNA from 1 species
GAAAAUUGAAAGCAUAUGCAAAUAAUUGUGGUAUCAUCCAUCGAGCCAAUGUGCCUAUGCCAAUAGAAAAAUAGAUUUAAUUUUUUGGCUUAAAUACACUUUUGGUCCCCUUAUUUUUAAAAAAAUGAAGUUUUCAUCCCCCUAUUUUAAAAACCAACUUUUUGAUCCCCCAAUUUUAAUUUUUUGUUAGUUUUGGUCCUCCACUUCAUUUUAGAGUCAUUUUUGCUGAUGUAGCCUAUUACUAAUGACGUGGCAGCGCCUAGUGGACAAUUUAUUACAUGUCAUUAUUAAAAUUUUAAAUUUAAUAAUUUAUUUUUAAAAAAUAAUAAACAUUUAUGUGUUCAUCAUGAUCUUCAAUAUUGUUUAUCGUGUUUGUCAUCUUCUUUGUCAAUAAACCCAAAAUUUUCAAAUACCACAUUCAUCAAAAUCAAUAAACUCAAACAAAAUUAUCUUCAAGAAACCUAAACCAUCUUUAUCAACUCAAAAAAUCUAAAUCCCCACAUCUAUACCCUAAAUUUUUCAAAUCUUGAAAAAUCCCAAAAUUCCCUCAUUCACAAUCUGAUUAUCAAUUCCCUCAUUCGACCUAACCCAACCUAGGGGUCGACACCUCACGCAUUUGGGAACCUGCAUAUAUCCCCCACAAUUUUAGGUUCAAUUUUCCAGCAUAUAUCCACAAGUUGGUUGUUUGAUUAAAAUGCAUACUUCUUUAAUUUGGGUGCUCUAUCUACUAUACUGUGCUUACUUCUUUUUUUCCUCAAAGAUCAAUUGUAUGUUUGAUGGUAUAUUAAAAAUUUGUAUGUUUUAAUUAGGUUUCUAGAUGAUGAUUUUGUUUUGUUUGAGAUUGAUUUUGAUGAAGGUGUUUUCUAAAAAUUUGGGUUUAUUGAUAAAGUGAUGAACAAUGAAGAUCAUGAUAAACACAUUAGAUGUUUAUUAUUUUUUAAAAUAAAUUAUUUAAUUUAAAAUUUUAAUAAUGACAUGUAAAAGAAAUUUGUCCACUAGGCGCUGACACAUCAUUAGUAAUAGGGUCACAUCAACAAAAUUGACUCCAAAAUGGAGUGGGGGACCAAAACUAACAAAAAAUUAAAAUUGGGGGAUCAAAAAGUUGGUUUUUAAAAUAGAGGGAUUAAAAUUUCAUUUUUUUUAAAAUAGGGGGACCAAAAGUGAAUUUAAGUCAACAAAAUAUUAAUAUUUAUAUAUAUAUAUAUAGAUUUGGCACGAGUUUUUUUUAGCUUAUAAUCAAAGUCUUUGAUUUGAUCUCUACCUUGGACAUGUAGUAGCAUUAAAAAUUUUAGGAAUGAUUUGCCGCCCAUUUGAAUUCCAUAAGACUCGGAGGAUUAGCCUCUGUAAUUGCGCACAAAAGAUAUCUAGUUUAUGUAAAAUAUAUAUAUAUAUAUAUAUAUAUAUAAAUAUCUGCUCAUUAUAAAUAAAAAAGAAUAUCUGCAACAUAAUGAUAUAUCUAGUUCUUAUUUUACAUUUCAGGUAGUCAUUUUCAAAGGGGAGAAGAAUUAUCAAGAAGGAAAUAUUGGGAAUGAUCAUCCAAGUGAGAUGGUUUUAUGGAUGAAAUCUGUCACUAUUAGUUAAAGAUAUGAUCGAUCAAGGAUUAAUUAUUAUUGUUGUAGUGUUAAAUAUUAAUAUUAGUGACGUUCGUCAAAAAAAUAUUAAUAUUAGUGAUUAAUUAUAAGGAAGAAGUUGUAGGAUUUAUUUAGUAAGUGUGUAUUACUUCCCUUAUUAUUUGUGAUCAUGAGGCAUAUAUAUAGUGGUUAUAUGGUUAUAUGUUUUUUAGGAGAAUGUUAACAUGUAGGGCACAUGUUAAGAAGAUAAAUGUAAAAAAAAUUUAUUAAAUUUAUGAUGUAUUCAAUUCUCUAAACAUUAAAUUGUUUGUAUCAUUAAAUUUUUUAUUUUUAUUUUUAAGUAGCUUAAUAUGUAUCCUUAAGGGCACAAGUUAACACAUCCAUAUUUUUAAUGUUUGAUGAGUUAAUUAGGUUCUAAAAGAAGAA